AACGAACGCUGGCGGCAGGCUUAACACAUGCAAGUCGAGCGCCCCGCAAGGGGAGCGGCAGACGGGUGAGUAACGAGUGGGAACGUACCCUUUGCUACGGAAUAGCUCCGGGAAACUGGAAUUAAUACCGUAUGUGCCCUACGGGGGAAAGAUUUAUCGGCAAAGGAUCGGCCCGCGUUGGAUUAGGUAGUUGGUGGGGUAAUGGCCUACCAAGGCGACGAUCCAUAGCUGGUCUGAGAGGAUGAUCAGCCACAUUGGGACUGAGACACGGCCCAAACGCCUACGGGAGGCAGCAGUGGGGAAUAUUGGACAAUGGGCGCAAGCCUGAUCCAGCCAUGCCGCGUGAGUGAUGAAGGCCUUAGGGUUGUAAAGCUCUUUCACCGGAGAAGAUAAUGACGGUAUCCGGAGAAGAAGCCCCGGCUAACUUCGUGCCAGCAGCAGCCGCGGUAA
rnacentral:rRNA from 1 species